rnacentral:rRNA from 1 species
UACGAAGGGUGCAAGCGUUAUCCGGAUUCAUUGGGUUUAAAGGGUGCGUAGGCGGGGUGGUAAGUCAGUGGUGAAAUCUUGCGGCUUAACCGUAAAAUUGCCAUUGAUACUGCCAUUCUUGAGUACGCUCGACGUAGGCGGAAUGUGUCGUGUAGCGGUGAAAUGCUUAGAUAUGACACAGAACACCGAUAGUGAAGACAGCUUACGAGGGCGAAACUGACGCUGAGGCACGAAAGCGUGGGGAUCGAACAGG